rnacentral:rRNA from 1 species
CCUACGGGGUGCAGCAGUGGGGGAUAUUGCACAAUGGGGGGAACCCUGAUGCAGCGACGCCGCGUGUGGGAAGACGGUCCUCUGGAUUGUAAACCACUGUCCCCAGGGACGAAAAUGACGGUACCUGGGGAGGACGCUCCGGCUAACUACGUGCCAGCAGCCGCGGUAAUCCGUAGGGAGCGAGCGUUGUCCGGAAAUACUGGGUGUAAAGGGAGCGUAGGCGGGGAUGCAAGUUGGGUGUCAAAACUACCGGCUCAACUGGUAGUCGCACUCAAAACUGCAGCUCUUGAGUGCAGUAGAGGCAGGCGGAAUUCCUAGUGUAGCGGUGAAAUGCGUAGAUAGUAGGAGGAACACCAGUGGCGAAGGCGGCCUGCUGGGCUUUUACUGACGCUGAGGCUCGAAAGUGUGGGGAGCAAACAGGAUUAGAUACCCUGGUAGUC